rnacentral:rRNA from 1 species
UACGGAAGGUCCGGGCGUUAUCCGGAUUUAUUGGGUUUAAAGGGAGCGUAGGCGGACGGUCAAGUCAGCGGUAAAAAUGCGGUGCUCAACGCCGUACAGCCGUUGAAACUGGCAGUCUUGAGUGGGCGAGAAGUAUGCGGAAUGCGUGGUGUAGCGGUGAAAUGCAUAGAUAUCACGCAGAACUCCGAUUGCGAAGGCAGCAUACCGGCGCCCUACUGACGCUGAGGCACGAAAGUGCGGGUAUCGAACAGG